CAAUCCUAGCCGAUUACUGGAGUCAGCUGUCACGUACGGAACCCUGUAUAUUCUUCCUCUGGGUCAGUGACCAUCAGAUUGCCACCAGCUGAGCUAUUCAUUUCAACGGGCACUAUAGAUAGCAUCUCCUUUCAUGGGUUCGAACACGAUACGUAAGAACAAACGACACUGGUUAAAGCAAGACCUAUAAACAGUAAGCAUAAGAUUCGAUAAAUGACAUCGAAAAUUUGUCUAAAAAAGCCUUUUGUUCGCUUUUAUCUAAAAUGAUCUAAAGAAGAAUGCUCGAACACAAGGUUCCGAACGCUUUUAUGUUAACAGUCCUUUAUUAUUCUGUACGUGAUUGUUUGCAAAUCGCUUUACAAUACCGUCUGUCGAUUACCUGAAUUUGGCUAUCUAAAUUUUUCAGGAUUCAUAAUUUCAUUUGCUACUUCCAGGCAGCUUUCGAGUUGGUGCCCAGAGGUGCUUACACCGGCCAAGAUGAAUGAUUCUAUAAAUGUUCUCCACGUUCUCGCGAUAGGGAAUAGAAUAACUAUCGACGAUGCAGUGGUUAAACUCCCACCCUUUAUACAACAAUCGACCUGGUCCAGGGAAACGGCCCAACAUCACUUUUAUUCUCUAUCUUACUGCGUGAUUAAAUAAGAGGAUCGAGAGAUAUAAUCAGAGUCAUCUUGUAUGCAGAUGAUUUAGCGAUAUACGGAUCAACCGGGUUUCAUUCAAGGUCAACAAGUUGUAGCCCGGCUCCUCGUGGUAGUCAUAGACUAACACUGACCGUAAACCCAACCACGGUGGGGGCGAUGAAGUUUCGAGAGGGAACAGGAUAGCGGCUGAUGCUUUGUAUUUUAUUAGGUCGCGUCUUGCUUUAGUAAACCGGUCCAGUGUUGGAGCUGCUCUUUUUCACGAACAGCAGGCGUUUCAUAACAUACGUCACCGAACAUAACACCCUUGGCCACAUAGGGCGAUUGUCUCAUCGCUUGUCACUCGUAACCACUUUCAACGUGUUCGAUAGUUCAAAGCAACUCUGAUUGUAACGCAUGGGAUCUGAGUCAUUUGAGAAGAUCCUUAGGAUUAAGAGUUUGGAACAAUCAAAUUGCGUCAAAGCCUCCCUCCUCAAAAGAGCGCUGGGACUAUACAUAUCGCCUAACCUCGCGUGUUCUCUAUUAUCCUGGGAUCUACGUCGUUGUUUUGAGCUCCUAGUAACGGUGGUAAGACAAUAGCACGUGGAAAGAAAAAUUCGCGGAGACUGGUGGAGAUUUUUUUACUUCGGGUAUGAUGAAGAACAACGAGCGGAAAGGAAUGAACUAGGUAAACAGACCUGUCGUUAUCUGCUUUGCCGUGUAUGUGUUCUGCUAAUGGCUCUGCGAGAACCUAGAUUUUCACAGGCUUCGAGAUACAUGUAGGUGCUCUGUGUCCUGGCUGAACCUCCGAGAAGGAUGAGUUUGAGCUGCUGAAAGUGUGGUGGAGAAGCUACACAACUAUGUCACCAUGAAUCGAAGAAAAUACGUCGCAGCUUCAAAAAAAACAUUGCCAUAAACGUAGCCCAAGAAGCUUAUUCUUAGGCGUUGUGCCCCUUCCCGCUGCCAGUAACCACCAGGAUUUAGAAGAGCAAGGAUCGGCCAGAAUUUUAAAACUCAACCAGAUACUAGCGAUUAUUGCAAGAACCUCGACCAUGACUACAAUUUUCUCGUUUUGGUACGAAAUACAGCCAUCAAAAAUCUCUGCAUCGAAAGUAGCGACAGCCAGGAGCCCUAUAAGAACUACUACAUCGAAAAUGACCUCGAGCCAUCUCGCAUUGACUUCCUCUUUGAAGUCCUUAUUGCCCCUCGGAUUGUUAUUGGUAAGAACCUUACAGUAGGACACAUGUGUAACAGUUAGUAUACUUUCGCAAUUUGGCGAAGUUAAUCAUUUCAAUAAAUUAGGCAAGGCCUGUAACAUUUCUAUAGGCCGCCGUUGGCCACCUGCUCGAGCGUGGUGAAAACUGUGUCAGCCCCAUGUGAUACAACGGGUUCACAUGCUUUCUUUUAUCCCAUAGGUCGUCUCUACGUUACGGAAUAUGAUCAAGGACCAUCUACAUCAUUAUUGUAAUCAGGUCAUAUACGAGCCUUUUUUUACUAACACAUAGGUGUUUCCAGGAAUCUUUGUCACCAUGAGCUUAAGUAGGUCCCUUUGACAGACAACCUUCAAGUGCUUCGGCACAAAUUUCGUCUCGUUUGUAAUUAAUUUGUUUUCCAUGUAGCCCCAUGCCUGGCGGUGUAUGUGCGUGGGCGUUUACAAGUCUCACACCCAGGCUAGUGCUAUAUAUUUCUACGCAAGAAUUAGGUUUGAUACCACGUUAGGACCAACCAGUACUGCCAAAGCUCAAUGGAGCUAAAGUUGCUCCGGAGUGAUGGUUAUCGUGGUACACUCUCGAAUACUUGCCCAUGGACCUCACCUAAUCUACGUUAAUAGGUACGAGAUGCGAGUAACAAUGUUGAAAACACCAUAUCCCGGAUAUCCCCAUGUGGUCCCACUAGGAGACCCAACACCUCAACCAAUAUGAAUUUGUGCGAACUACCUAGGCGACACGUUGACAGAAACCGGUUUGUUUUCAAUAAUACCUGCAUUGCGAUUCCGCCUCAGCUCAUAGCUUAUCUAGAGAAUUAUUCAACAACUAAUUUAACUAUCAUUUAAUGUUUAGUAGGGCUAAUUAGUGAGACUAAUGGCAAACACGUUUCGUAUUGAUUGAAUUAUUGAGAUUGUGCGCAACUCCAGUUCGUACAGCAUCACUACUGCUGGCCAUAUUACGAUAAGUAAACUAUAUCUCCCAGUUUAAAGACAGUUUCGCACUUAGGGCAACACACAAUCGCUACGCGUACUCCUAAUUUCUGCAUCAUACCCAAGUAGCGCAGUCAAGGAACCAAUUAGCAUUGAGUCAUAACCCUGCACGCAGCAAUGUCCCUAUCAGUCAAAAACAAUAGUAGGGGGCCUAAUAUAAUACUAAGUGAAGUUAACUUUUUCACAACUUAGGAAAUCCGAUUAGUUGAGUUGACAAAUGGCGCUACUCGGAUAUUUGAUUUUUCGUGAUGUAUAAAUCUGUAGAUAGGUAUAAAAUACAUCUUAUGCUCGCUCGCACUAACCAUUUGACUGUAAUUAGUGAAUAUGAUAUAGGAGUUUGCGAUAUAUGCAAAUCAUAGACAUCGUUUUGAUCAGAUAUAUUUCGAUUUUUCUAAGGCGCUUGGCAAAGUACCCAUGCUAGGCUAAUAUCAAGAUCAAAUGACUUUCAUAUCAAUGCUAGAGCUAUACUUGACCAUGCUGCUAUUUAACUAGUAGAAAACUGAGAGCAGGACGAUGCAGAAUAAGCAACUUUUUGGCUAAUCGUCCAUCAGCGGUAACGUAAGUUAUCAGGAAGGCCCUCCUCUGCUUCGGGUACCACAAUAUGCGCUUCUUGCUACAAUUCUACACGAAUUUUAUGUCCGUGAUUUAAAUUUGUUGCUCUUUUAAUACACUAACCGGCAAUAAAAGUAAACUAUUGAGUCUGUACAUGGACAUCGCUACAAGCUGGGACGAAUCCAGUGACCGCCUAAACUCGACUAGUUCCUGGACGGUCGCCAAUAUUGCACUUCUUUCGCAAACUGUAUACAGGAGAUUAGCACAUAAGUAAUUUAACUUGAAAUGUAUCUAUAACCUAGCAAUCUAUAAUACGAAAGAUCCACAGAUUAACAAGAGUUACCAAUAGCUAGUGAGCCCGGGCUGCCCAAUUUGGCAAGGUGUGAAUAGAUAACAUCUCUGCCAUCUAUUCACUUUAGUAGACGGGAUUUCUAUCGCAAACUAGACUUCGUAGAUCUUCAUUCAGUGGUGAGGUGAACGAGGCAAAUAAUAUUAAUUACCUGCUUAGUUUCUUAUAUGCCCGUCUAACUUUGUCAGUGAUCAUAUUUGUACUCCGAUCUGUAACUCUUGCCGAUCGCAGUGAUGCUGCCAUUUAUUGUAUAUAAAUUCACUACCGAAUUGUAUAUAUUGCCUUGUAGUAAAUUGUGCAUUCUGUCUAUAAGUAACUACAAAUUCUGUUGUGUUUCAUUCAAAAUUUGGACUUUCAGAGUUGACGAUAAGCGGCUUCACGUAGAAGUUUAAGUAUAAAAUUUAUUUUCUAUGGCGUGUUUUUAGGUGCUUCUGUAGCAAGUACCUGCGUCAGUUGUAAAUGGCAUAAUCCGCUCCAGUGGAUCUCGCUCCUGGGGUGUACGUCGGCAGUGAGAUUACGUAGUCUGUCUCUUUUUCAUCCAGCCUGAACCACCAGUGCAGCAAAUCUUCCCAUCCCCAUUCCACAACAUUAACAUUGAUGUGGUAGGGAAAUGUAUUUCGUAGGAUCGUAAAUCAUGCUGCAUCACUUAACAAUCUUUGGAUUUUUUUCAACUGAAGACUCAGUGAACCGAAGAGUAACAAAUAGACGCUUGUAUGUUGCUGUCGUCUUUACUAGAUACCGAAUUUCUUUAGAAUUCACCGAAGACGCGAAAAGUAAGUGCCCUCAUCGUACCUAUAUGAUUGCCCUUAAAUUAUAAUUUGUUUAAAGUAUGAACAUCAUUUCAGUGGGUAAUACUAUAGGUAUAUGCUGGUGACGUAUCUUAAGACUAGUGUCAAUGCUUUGUUAUUUCUCCACACUUACUGUAGACUACGCGGUAACAUCUUUGCAUAUCUAGAUGGCAUCUGGGGCAAUCUUUAGAACUCGAUGGUUUUAACCGAACAUGCCUAAAGGUUAGUGUAUUCCCAGAUUACCGCUGGUCCGCCGUGUAAAUUCGUAUGUUUGUGCUAGAAAAUAAUCACAUCACAUGACCCAAUGAAAAUAUGGGUAUAAUACGAGUAUAUUGACGCUAAUACCUACUGAUCACUGUAUAUAUUCGGACAGUUCGACGGAUAGUUCCGCUGAAUGCAGGUAUUCAGUAGUGUAUCUGAAGAAUAAAGCUGCGAUUUGGCAAUAAUAAAAACGGAAAACCAAGUAACGAAUUGGGUAUUUUGCUUUGAUUUACGGUCAUCUCUACUGGUCUUUCGUGUUCAUAUGAUUCACACUGCACUCAGAUAAGGGUAUCUGGUUGAAAUAAUGCGACGUUAUCGGCCUCCUAAAAGAAGCGUAGAUUUCCGGUCUUCACCCAACAGCCGGUGUAGCUUUAGAUAACUGCUUAGAUUUAUGCGAGAUUUCUAUGCAUCAACAAGACCAUAAGUCACUAGUAUAUCGUGAUAGCAGUAGGGUAAAUAAUGCAUGAUACGAUUAUUCGACUACGAACAGAGAUCGGAAUUUUAUCAGGUGAGACAUUAGCGUAACCGAUAUACUAGCAAUAGCUCGAACCUUAUCAAGGUGAUUCAGCCCUGAAAAAUGAUUUUACUUUUCAUCACUUUUCCCUGAUAAAUUUUUUUCGAUAUCAAUAGUUUAGCCGAGGAAAAGCUCACAGUUCCACCAGUGCCAUUAUUGUUAAUUAUAUGGUACAUGAUCUACACAUCGUGACCUAAAAAGAGAGGGAGACCAAUUUUUAUUUCAUGGUUACUUUCUAUAGUCGUUAAAGCUAGACUGAACUUGACGAUUCUUAUUAAACAUGUUGAACACGUGAAUAUAUUGAAGAUGGUAAAAUAAUAAUAAAUUAUUAAGUCUGAACUGAACACAAAGCAGCAAACCAUAGCUAAUGUUUUUUUUCGGUGUGAAAUUAAAGUCCUACCAAUAUUUUUCGUUGAAAAAACCUUUGCUGUCUGCCUGAA
rnacentral:lncRNA from 1 species